UUCAUCGGCCUCAGAUUGGUAGGACUACCCGCUGAACUUAAGCAUAUCAAUAAGCGGAGGAAAAGAAACUAACAAGGAUUCCCCUAGUAACGGCGAGUGAAGAGGGAAGAGCCCAAGAUUGAAAGCUGGCGUCUUCGACGUCCGCAUUGUAAUCUCAAGAAGUGUUUUCCGCUUCGGACCAUGCCUAAGUCCCUUGGAAAAGGGCAUCAUAGAGGGUGAUAAUCCCGUACAUGGCAUGGAGCGCCCGAGGCUUUGUGAUACGCUUUCUAAGAGUCGAGUUGUUUGGGAAUGCAGCUCAAAAUGGGUGGUAAAUGCCAUCUAAGGCUAAAUAUUGGGGAGAGACCGAUAGCGAACAAGUACAGUGAUGGAAAGAUGAAAAGAACUUUGAAAAGAGAGUUAAACAGUACGUGAAAUUGCCAAAAGGGAAGGGUAGGAGGUCAGAGAUGCGUCUUGGGAUUCAGCCUUGCUUUUGCUUGGUGUUUUUCCCAAGUUGCAGGCCAACGUCGGUUUUGGGCACUGGAGAAGGGUGGAAGGAACGUGGCACCUCUCGGGGUGUGUUAUAGCCUUCCACUGGAUACAGCGACCGAGACCGAGGACAGCAGCGUACUCGCAAGAGCGGGCCUUCGGGCACCUUUACGCUUAGGGCGUUGGCAUAAUGGCCCUCUACCACCCGUCUUGAAACACGGACCA
rnacentral:rRNA from 1 species